AUAUUCAUACUGGCUGUAGGGUCACUUUAAGGUUGUACUCAUCAGGUCGGCCCAUGUGUACAAUUUCACAUAUGUACAUUCAUCAAGCAAGGCUCAGCUUGGCUCAAGCUCGACAUCCUCAUCAUUACAUGCCAUGAAGUUGUCAAGCAGGGUCUCUCGGUGGAGUGCCAAGACCAAAGUUGGAGAAGAUGCUCAUGAAGCCCAGAAUUAGAAGGGAUGUGGAUAAUUUAUGGGAUGUGAGAAAGAACAAUUGUGAAGAAUAAAGUUGUCGGAUUAUCGAUAGGAUGGACAUCUAAUGUAAAGCUAAAGGGAAGCUGCUUAAUUGACUCAUCCUGUUUGGACCAUUCGACUUGGAAGGUUUUGGUGCAGUAUUUUUGUGACUGGUUUAUGGAAAUGUCAUAGAAGAGAAACUUUUUCUGUAAGCAAUGCAGACCAUCAGUAUCAGCACAAAGAGAUCUUUCAGUUCAAGUGGCCCAAGGUUGUCACUGCGGCUUCCUCCUAUAUACUACAGUGUGAGUUAAAAGAACAAGGCCAUUGCGAUCUUUCUCAAUCAGACUAGGAGAAUCACCUUAUUGUAUGUCUAUGAUGUCACCCUCGAUUCACGUGAGAAGAGCCAGGGUGGUGGUACAAUUCCGUGAAGCAGCCUGUGCCUGUAAUAUAUCGACUGUGUCUAUGAUGUCGCCUAAGGAUCAUGUAGAGGCAGGUCUCCUGAUACAUUUAUGUGAGACAGGGACUGCUUCCCUGUAGAGCAUGUAGAAGCAGAUCCUCUAGUCUAACCCCUGGCUUCUGUGAAUGCCUGUGCCAUUGUUCUGUCGGAGCAGCCUAUAUCCAGAGUGUACUUUCUACCAUCUCUCUCCAUUUCUUAAUCUCUGUACUGUCGCUCACUUCUACUGCUUACAUUCAUCUACAGGUUGGAUUCAAUCAGCAUGGAAGAUUAAUUGAUUGAAGCCUUCCACCCCAUAAUAUGAGGUGAGUUUUCUUUAGCUUCUUCAAUACCUUCUUGUACUAAUUCUAAGUUUAUCUUCCUGUUUACUGCUGCCCAUUGCAUUGUCCCUUCUGUUGAGUGGGGACAUCCUUUAUGGAGGAUG